GCGGGCGUAGUUCAAUGGUAGAACAGCAGCUUCCCAAGCUGCCAGUGCGGGUUCGAUUCCCGUCGCCCGCUCCA
rnacentral:tRNA from 1 species